AACACGUGAGUAACCUGCCCUUGACUCUGGGAUAAGCCUGGGAAACUGGGUCUAAUACCGGAUAUGACUCCUCAUCGCAUGGUGGGGGGUGGAAAGCUUUUGUGGUUUUGGAUGGACUCGCGGCCUAUCAGCUUGUUGGUGAGGUAAUGGCUCACCAAGGCGACGACGGGUAGCCGGCCUGAGAGGGUGACCGGCCACACUGGGACUGAGACACGGCCCAGACUCCUACGGGAGGCAGCAGUGGGGAAUAUUGCACAAUGGGCGCAAGCCUGAUGCAGCGACGCCGCGUGAGGGAUGACGGCCUUCGGGUUGUAAACCUCUUUCAGUAGGGAAGAAGCGAAAGUGACGGUACCUGCAGAAGAAGCGCCGGCUAACUACGUGCCAGCAGCCGCGGUAAUACGUAGGGCGCAAGCGUUAUCCGGAAUUAUUGGGCGUAAAGAGCUCGUAGGCGGUUUGUCGCGUCUGCCGUGAAAGUCCGGGGCUCAACUCCGGAUCUGCGGUGGGUACGGGCAGGCUAGAGUGAUGUAGGGGAGACUGGAAUUCCUGGUGUAGCGGUGAAAUGCGCAGAUAUCAGGAGGAACACCGAUGGCGAAGGCAGGUCUCUGGGCAUUAACUGACGCUGAGGAGCGAAAGCAUGGGGAGCGAACAGGAUUAGAUACCCUGGUAGUCCAUGCCGUAAACGUUGGGCACUAGGUGUGGGGGACAUUCCACGUUUUCCGCGCCGUAGCUAACGCAUUAAGUGCCCCGCCUGGGGAGUACGGCCGCAAGGCUAAAACUCAAAGGAAUUGACGGGGGCCCGCACAAGCGGCGGAGCAUGCGGAUUAAUUCGAUGCAACGCGAAGAACCUUACCAAGGCUUGACAUGGACCGGACCGCCGCAGAGAUGUGGUUUCUCCUUUUGGGGCCGGUUCACAGGUGGUGCAUGGUUGUCGUCAGCUCGUGUCGUGAGAUGUUGGGUUAAGUCCCGCAACGAGCGCAACCCUCGUUCCAUGUUGCCAGCGCGUAAUGGCGGGGACUCAUGGGAGACUGCCGGGGUCAACUCGGAGGAAGGUGGGGACGACGUCAAAUCAUCAUGCCCCUUAUGUCUUGGGCUUCACGCAUGCUACAAUGGCCGGUACAAAGGGUUGCGAUACUGUGAGGUGGAGCUAAUCCCAAAAAGCCGGUCUCAGUUCGGAUUGGGGUCUGCAACUCGACCCCAUGAAGUCGGAGUCGCUAGUAAUCGCAGAUCAGCAACGCUGCGGUGAAUACGUUCCCGGGCCUUGUACACACCGCCCGUCAAGUCACGAAAGUUGGUAACACCCGAAGCCGGUG
rnacentral:rRNA from 1 species